rnacentral:rRNA from 1 species
ACUGCAGUCGUGGGGCAGCGCAGUGUAGCAAUACAUGGGCGGCGACCGGCAAACGGGUGCGGAACACGUACGCAACCUUCCUUUAAGUGGGGGAUAGCCCAGGGAAACUUGGAUUAAUACCCCGUAAUAUUACGGAGUGGCAUCACUUUUUAAUUAUAGCAGCAAUGCGCUUGAAGAUGGGCGUGCGCCUGAUUAGGUAGUUGGCGGGGUAACGGCCCACCAAGCCUUCGAUCAGUAACUGGUGUGAGAGCACGACCAGUCACACGGGCACUGAGACACGGGCCCGACUCCUACGGGAGGCAGCAGUAAGGAAUAUUGGUCAAUGGACGAAAGUCUGAACCAGCCAUGCCGCGUGGAGGAUGAAGGUCCUCUGGAUUGUAAACUUCUUUUAUUUGGGAAGAAACCCACGAUUUCUAUUGUGGUUGACGGUACCAGAUGAAUAAGCACCGGCUAACUCCGUGCCAGCAGCCGCGGUAAUACGGAGGGUGCAAGCGUUAUCCGGAUUCACUGGGUUUAAAGGGUGCGUAGGCGGGCAGGUAAGUCAGUGGUGAAAUCCCCGAGCUUAACUUGGGAACUGCCGUUGAUACUAUCUGUCUUGAAUACUAUGGAGGUAAGCGGAAUAUGUCAUGUAGCGGUGAAAUGCUUAGAUAUGACAUAGAACACCAAUUGCGAAGGCAGCUUGCUACACAGUUAUUGACGCUGAGGCACGAAAGCGUGGGGAUCAAACAGGAUUAGAUACCCUGGUAGU